rnacentral:rRNA from 1 species
UACGUAGGAGGCAAGCGUUGUCCGGAGUUACUGGGCGUAAAGCGCACGCAGGCGGUCGCAUCAGUCUGGGGUGACAGUUCCCGGCUUAACCGGAAAAGGACUCUGGAAACUGUGCGACUUGAGGGCUUCAGAGGGAUGUGGAAUUCCUGGUGUAGCGGUGAAAUGCGCAGAUAUCAGGAGGAACACCGGUGGCGAAGGCGGGUC